CAGCGAAGUUCGAAAGCGAAGCGCCGCGCCGCGCUCCGUGCAGCCGGUGGGCGUCCCGCUCGCUUUUGGCCCGGCUCUGCGGUGCCGGUUCGCGGCGGAGGCCGGGUGGCCCUGGAAAGGGGGAGCUCGGAGUAGCGCUCCGUGCAUCUCUGCACCGAGGCGUCUCUGUACCGGGCUCGUCCGGGCGGGAGCGGCCCUUCCUCGGGCGCCGGGCGGCUGUAAAGAUACCACUGUUGGAUUUCGGUGUGCACAGCUCUCAUCUGACUUCGUCCUGGGCUGUUUUCUCAGUCAUCUACACCCUGAAAUGCCAAACGAAGCCAGAUUUUGGCGAAGAAUCGAUGGAGUUAGAAGUGUGUUGGCUCAGUAAGAAUGAAGCAGCUGGUAUCAGGAGACAGAGGCCAGAGGCUUAGAGGGCAUGCUUGGUCUACAAGAGGCCGGUGGAAGACUUUUUAUCCAGCUGCCACGUGUGACUGCUGCUCAGAAAGCCACAAUGUUGUACUGAGACUUGAAUCAUCAUUUUAGAAAAAUCAGUUUGGAAAGGGAGAGACAGCGCUUGACCUUGCAAUUCAAACUCAGAAUCGCUUUGUCGUUUAUAUGUUAAUGGAGGAAGGAAGAGUGAGAAGCAGAAGGAAUGACAGGUUACUGAGAAUGAUGGAGAAAUACGAGCUGUUCCUGCUGCUGGCAUCUUGCUUGACUGAUGUGGGCCAUAGGAUACGUAAUGAACUUGAGUUCUGAUUCCUGGCUUUUGAAAGGAUGCCUGCUUCUCUUUCUGCUGGUUGGGAUGGCUCUGUCU